CUUCCUGUGUGGUCCCUUUCACAUUAAAAGCCCUCCCUGACUGUAAAGACUGGACUGUGCUGCAGCUGGUGGAAACAGUGUGUAGGUCUACAAAGAGUCGCACUUCCUGCUGUGGUUCAGAUGUUCAGCGUGUUGCUUUGUUUCUCACAUGUUGGCUCCACGGUCUCUGCUGCUGUGGGCUGAUGUCAUGCAGCAAUACAGCUGCUGAACAUCUGGCCUUGUUUUGCUCCAUCAGCAGAUAUUUGACUUUUAGAUCACAUGAUAUUUGCAUGCAACCUUCAAACACGUGUGGAGAAUUCAUUAUUUCUUUGAGAGAUUUUUUAGUAAAUAACAGAAAAAAGAAAGUAAGAGAAAAGCAAAACUUUAAUUCUAUAAAAGAGUAAAAAUUC